rnacentral:rRNA from 1 species
UACGUAGGGUGCAAGCGUUGUCCGGAAUUAUUGGGCGUAAAGAGCUCGUAGGCGGUUCGUCACGUCGGCUGUGAAAACCUGAGGCUCAACCUCAGGCCUGCAGUCGAUACGGGCGGACUUGAGUACUGCAGGGGAGACUGGAAUUCCUGGUGUAGCGGUGAAAUGCGCAGAUAUCAGGAGGAACACCGGUGGCGAAGGCGGGUCUCUGGGCAGUAACUGACGCUGAGGAGCGAAAGCGUGGGGAGCGAACAGGAUUAGAAACCCCCGUAGUCC